AACGAACGCUGGCGGCAUGCCUAAUACAUGCGAGUCGAACGAUCACUUCGGUGGUAGUGGCGCACGGGCGCGUAACGCGUGGGAAUCUACCCUUGGGUUCGGAAUAACAGUUAGAAAUGACUGCUAAUACCGGAUGAUGACGAAAGUCCAAAGAUUUAUCGCCCAAGGAUGAGCCCGCGUAGGAUUCGCUAGUUGUUGAGGUAAAAGCUCACCAAGGCGACGAUCCUUAGCUGGUCUGAGAGGAUGAUCAGCAACACGGGGACUGGGACACGGCCCAGACUCAUGCGGGAGGUAGCAGUAGGUAAUAUUGGACAAUGGGGGGAACCCUGCUCCAGCAAUGCCACGUGAGUGAUGAAGGCCUUAGGGUUGUAAAGCUGUUUUACCCGAGAUGGUAAUGACAGUAUCGGGAGAAUAAGCUCCGGCUAACUCCGUGGCAGCAGCCGCCGCAG
rnacentral:rRNA from 1 species